AUCGAACGCUGGCGGCAGGCUUAACACAUGCAAGUCGAACAGUGGCGAACGGGUGAGUAAUGCUUGGGAAUCUGGCUUAUGGAGGGGGCUAACGACGGGAAACUGUCGCUAAUACCGCGUACCAUAGGAUGAGCCCAAGUGGGUUGAGGUAGUGGGUGGGGUAAUGGCCUACCAAGCCGACGAUCGCUAGCUGGUCUGAGAGGAUGACGAGCAAAACCGGGACGGAGCGACGGCCCGGACUCCGGCGGGAGGCAGCAGUGGGGAAGAUUGCGCAAGUGGGGCAACCUGACGCAGCCAUGCCGCGUGAAUGAAGAAGGCCUUCGGGUUUUAAAGUUCUUUCGGUGGCGAGGCGUUAAUCACAGAGGAAGCACCGGCUAACUCCGUGCCAGCAGCCGCGGUAAUAC
rnacentral:rRNA from 1 species